UGUCAUACAAUACAAAAUUAAAUAUAAUAUCUAACAUAUUAAUGCUGUGUUUUGAAAAUCUUUAUGGUUGAGAUAUGCGUGAGAACCGUUUUACAUAUGUUUGAUUUGCGAUAAAGUUUUGGACUUUUAAUUUGAAUACAUUUUUUUUGCAAAUGCGACUCAUUCAAAAUGUCAAGGCUGCACUAUGGAUGCCCGACAAAGGGAUGUUGUUCUAAACCUCUUGCUGUAGCGGCAACAUUUGCGGCCCUUUCAGCUAUAUCCACAACCUGAAUUGUUGCAUCCCGAACAUUUUGUCCAAUGCGCUCCUGAAAACGUGAAAUUUAUAGGUAUAUAUCAUUAGUUAUUAGGAAAUGUAACUAUUAUGAUUUAUCUGGAAGUUAAAAACUUAAUCUCUGUGCUCUUUUGGCUUACAAUUCUCUUGCCAAGCCUUUUCCAAAAGUCGGCCUUAGCUUCUCCCAUGCAAAUAGCCAAAAGCAGCACAACGAAGAUAAAGAUCUUGUAGAAAUUCAUGUUCGACUUGGUAACAAAACUGGCUAUGUUGCUGGAGCAAUCGGAACCGAAAGACUGAUGACCCACUGGACCGGCAGUAGAUGCUUUUAUAUCCAUCAUCAACAAACGGGAUUCGAAUUUAAAGGGGAACUUUUGUUUGCCAGAAAUUUCAUGAAACAAAUUUUGAUAUAAAUCAUCAAGUGUGAUUCAUGGGAAAGUCAAUGUUUCAUUUAAAGCGUGUCAAGCUAUGUGAAACAAGAUGUUUGCGAUAAAUUAUUAACAUUCGUAGAACUAAUAAAAUAAUAAAUGCAA